rnacentral:rRNA from 1 species
GAGGUCGGGCGGGCUUUACCAUGCAAGUCGAACGCUGAAGCACCGAGCUUGCUGGGUGUGGAUGAGUGCCUUAACGGGUGAGUAACACGUGAGUAACCUGCCCCUGACUUCGGGAUAAGCCUGGGAAACUGGGUCUAAUACCGGAUAUGACUACUGGCCGCAUGGUCUGGUGGUGGAAAGGGUUUUACUGGUUGGGGAUGGACUCGCGGCCUAUCAGUUUGUUGGUGGGGUAGUGGCCUACCAAGACGACGACGGGUAGCCGGCCUGAGAGGGCGACCGGCCACACUGGGACUGAGACACGGCCCAGACUCCUACGGGAGGCAGCAGUGGGGAAUAUUGCACAAUGGGGGGAACCCUGAUGCAGCG